GAUCCAUAUGUUGGGUAAAUUAAUUACAAUCUGCAGAAAAAUCUUUGAUCAGACAAGGCAAUGGGAGCCCAGAAGGAAUCC